GGCAUUUCUCCCCACACAGAGAAAGUGAACACUAUACGUUCCAGCAAUCCUGAAUAUAGCCUGUACGUUGUCCAACCUGAACAUUUGUGAAGGAUACUACUGGAAACUUGUGUGUGAGGGAGCUGCAACACGACCUUUAACCUGCUGUUGUUCACUGAGCACAACCUGGAUGAACGUGGUACCUUCAGGCAUUUGGAAAUUGCUCCCAAGGAUGAACCAGACUUGUGGAGGUCUACAAUUCUUUUCUGAGGUCUUGGCUGAUUUCUUUUGAUUUUCCCAUGAUGUCAAGCAAAGAGCCACCGAGUUUGAAGAAGCCUGGAGCAGCUCGUCUGGGCAGGGCCACUGGUAUGAUCGUCCCACGUAGCCACACCUUCCAUUCUUUAUCCAAUCAGAGCCCUGACCACGUCCAGGAGGAGGACGGAUCACCAGAACAACGACGAAUCACCAUUGCGUCGUACACGCCACAGUCCAAAGACCAGAAUGGAAACUUUCCAGAGAAGGUACAGUAAGACAGCCAAUCAGACAAAAUCAGGGCCUUCAGGGUGGCAACGACACGGAAACAGAAAGCUGCCGCAAUUACAAUUAUAGAACACGAUGUGUUUAUAUUUCAGAAAAUACCACCUAAUCUACUCAAAGCAACGACUCAGCAAAUAGACUCAGAAUCUCCGUCUCUGCACCCAGGUUUAGCCAAAAGGACAUCCUAUUCCCUGUUCAGAGCCCAAGGCCCUGGUCAAAAGUAGUGCCUAAUGUUGGCAAUUGGGAGAGACUGACAGGCCCAGGCUGAUAGUGGUCAAGUUCCUGAGGUUCAAGGACAAGGUAGCUGUUCUGGAAAGAGCCAAGAACUUGAGAGGAACAUAUAUCUUCCUCAAUGAGGACUGUCCUGAAGCUGUGCCCCAGGAGAGGAAAGAACUGAUCCCAGCCAUGAAAGCUGCCAGAGGGAGUGGGGACAUUGCUUACAUCUGCUAUGAGAGGCUCAUUGUCCACCCUCCCUCCCAGAAGCCUGGAAGGGAUGAGAGAGCCAAGCCUAUGGGACUCAGACAGACAGGGAGCUAAACCUCUUGGAGAGUUCAACACUGAAGAAGUCUGCCAAUGGUUCAGCAGCAUCGGCCUGCACAAAUGCCUUACUUACAUCAGAGAGGCAGAGCUGUGUGGAACUGAUAUAGCCUCAAUAGACCUGACUACCCUGGAGGUCCUUCACAUCUCCAGUCUGGAGGAGAGAGAGCAGCUCCUAUCAGCUGUAUACAGAGAGCUACACCCACCCAGCACCACCUCACGGAAACUGGACUCCUUGUUGGAAACCUUUGGUCCUAACAACAUACAGAAAUUCACAGCAGCAUUGGUGACCAUGAGCCAAUCAAAGUCCUCCCAGCGUGUAAGCUGCCUUAACAUGAAUCAAAAGAAAUCCUUUAAAUUCAGAUGCAAAAGCCCUAACCCUAUGAACCAGAGGACCUCUCUGCUGAUGGAGAUCACCAUACAUGCGUCAGUGCAGAUAGUCCACCUGCGGACCCCCAGAGAGACCACGGUGGGGAAGGUGAUGGAGUCCUGUCUAAGGAUGCUAGGAAUGACAGAGGACAAGGAACUCUUCAGCCUCACAGACAAACCAGCUUCUUCAGAGGAGCUGUCAUCAGACCAACAGAUAGUUGACUUGGCAAGCUCAGAGAACAAAUAUCUAGAGUUGUACCUGUGCAAAAAGGAGAAACCUAAAAGUGUUGUCCAGCCCCAAUCCCCAGCACCUACUUUCAACGGGUCCCUUGGCAACGGCCCAGUCAAUCAAACCCGCCAGGUACAGGUGGUCAGCCAGCCAGGUAAAGAGGAAAAGAUAUGUGAACUCAAUGAACAGGUGGACUCUCUACAGAACGUCAUCCUGCAGGUGCAGGAGAUACACCACGGCCUGGUAGCGUUCUGUUCAGAGCUGAAGAGAAUGGAUGGGGAGGUGGAUGCGUCGGGGUUGAGAUCCCCAGAGCUGGAGCAGCGCCUUGGGCUGGCUCUGGGACUGCUCAGGGACAAGAGACACGGUCUACAGAGCCUUCGAGAGUCCAUGAGAGACACAGCCUCUCACAGGAACAAGCGAUCAGAGGUUCGUCUUCUGGAUAAGAUGAAGCUGAACUGUCAAGUGUUUAAAGAAGAAAUCUCUCUUGUGCACCUCAAUCGACAGGUAGCCCAUCUACAGCAAGCACUUCAGGACAGCCAAGACAAGGAGAGAUCCCUCCAGUCCCAGUCUCACCAGAGGAAGUGUUCUACCCUGGGCCAACUGGUCACUCCCCAGUGUCCAGCCAUGCUACUGGUUGUCCAGGAGAGCCGUGGGGAAGAUGGGCGGUAUGGAUUCACCUUCAAACUCUCAAAGGACAGAGGACUGGUGGUGAUACAGGUGGACAACUCACAUUCACCCCUCUGUCUGGAGGACAGAUUGGUGGAGGUAAACGGGGUACCAGUGGUGGACCACAGUGAACAUGAGUUGAGCACCCUACUCCUCCUCGGACCAAGUGCUCAGAUAGUGGUUCUGAGGAGACCUCCUCCUCCUGGGACCCAGUGCUCAGAUAGUGGUUCUGAGGAGACCUCCUCCUCCUGGGACCCAGUGCUCAGAUAAUGGUUCUGAGGAGACCUCCUCCUUCCAGCCUCAGACCCAGAAGACCCCCCUCCUGUUAGUCCCAACCACAGGUCCUCCUUCCAGAACCAGAAGACCCCCUCCUGUUAGUCCCACCCCCAGCUCCUCAUCCUCCCAAAAGACACCCUCCUGUUAGUCAAACCCCAAGCUCCUACUCCCUGGAGCAGCAUCCACCACUGGACCACCCCAUUGACCACCAGGCUGACUCCAUCCACACCACCUCUGAUGGUCCCCAUCCCAGUAGAACCCCCUCCUAGCUUUCCUCCUACCAGUCCUAGCAGACCCCCCCAGCUCUCCUCCUACCAGUCCUAGCAGACCCCCCCAGCUCUCCUCCUCCCAGUCCUAGCAGAUCCCCUCCUAGCUCUCCUCCUCCCAGUCCUAGCAGACCCCCUUCUAGCUCUCAUCUCAGUCCCAGUACCAGUAGACCCCCUCCUAGCUCUCAUCUCAGUCCCAGUCCCAGUAGACCCCCUCCUAGCUCUCAUCUCAGUCCCAGUCCCAGUAGACCCCCUCCUAGCUCUCCUCCUCCCAGUCCCCAUCCCAGGAGACCCCUCCAGGCUCUCCUCCUCCAGGUCCCCAUCCCAGUCGACCACCCCCCAGCUCUCCUCCUCCCAGUCCCCCCACAGUGGAGCAGCAAGGGAAACAUCCCACACUUGGAAAUCCUAUACAACAACAGGCGGAUCCCAUCUACCAGGAAAUUGAGCCCAUCCACUCUACAUUGGCUGAGGAAAAUGCAGCCACCAACACCAUUACGACCAUAAUGCUGGACAUUAGGAGACUGAGCCCAUCCACUCUAACUAGGAGACUGAACCUAUCAUCCACUCUAACUAGGAGACUGAACCUAUCAUCCACUCUAACUAGGAGACUGAACCCAUCAUCCACUCUAACUAGGAGACUGAACCCAUCAUCCACUCUAACUAGGAGACUGAACCCAUCAUCCACUCUAACUAGGAGACUGAACCCAUCCACUAACUAGGAGACUGAACCCAUCCACUAACUAGGAGACUGAACCCAUCCUCUAACUAGGAGACUGAACCCAUCCACUCUAACUAGGAGACUGAACCCAUCCACUCUAACUCGGAAACUGAACCCAUCCACUCUACCUAGGAGACUGAACCAAUCAUCCACUCUAACUAGGAGACUGAACCCAUCAUCCACUAACUAGGAGACUGAACCCAUCAUCCACUCUAACUAGGAGACUGAACCCAUCAUCCACUCUAACUAGGAGACUGAACCCAUCCACUAACUAGGAGACUGAACCCAUCCUCUAACUAGGAGACUGAACCCAUCAUCCACUCUACCUAGGAGACUGAACCCAUCAUCCACUCUACCUAGGAGACUGAACCCAUCAUCCACUCUACCUAGGAGACUGAACCCAUCAUCCACUCUACCUAGGAGACUGAACCCAUCAUCCACUCUACCUAGGAGAAUGAACCCGUCCACUCUACCUAGGAGACUGAACCCAUCCACUCUAACUAGGAGACUGAACCCAUCCCUCCACACCCCACUCAGGGAACUGAUGGAAGUGACAACGUGUGUACAGUACUGUACACUGUAACCCUGUAUAUGUUUUCAUAGUAGUGUGUACUGUAACCUGUAACCCUGUACAGCUUCAUAGUAUUCUGUACUGUAACCUCAUAGUAUUGUGUACUGUAACCUGUAACCUGUAACCCUGUACAGAUUCAUAGUAUUGUGUACUGUAACCUGUAACCCUGCACAGCUUCAUAGUAUUGUGUACUGUAACCUGUAACCUGUAACCAUGUAAAGCUUCAUAGUGUGUAUUGUAACCUGUAACCUUGCACAGCUUCAUAGUAGUGUGUACUGUAACCUGUAACCCUGUACAGCUUCAUAGUAUUGUGUACUGUAACCUGUAACCCUGUACAGCUUCAUAGUAGUGUGUACUGUAACCUGUAACCGUGUACAGCUUCAUAGUAGUGUGUACUGUAACCUGUAACCCUGUACAGCUUCAUUGUAUUGUGUACUGUAACCUGUAACCCUGUAUAGCUUCAUAGUAGUGUGUACUGUAACCUGUAACCCUGUAUAGCUUCAUAGUAGUGUGUACUGUAACCUGUAACCCUGUACAGCUUCAUUGUAUUGUGUACUGUAACCUGUAACCCUGUAUAGCUUCAUAGUAGUGUGUACUGUAACCUGUAACCCUGUAUAGCUUUAUAGUAGUUUGUACUGUAACCUGUAACCCUGUGUAUCUUCAUGGUAGUGCUUACUGUAACCUUCAUAGCAGUGUGUACCUAUAUGAUAUGUGAGCACAUGAAGGGUUUUGUAUUUCAUUGAAAAAAAAAACUUUGUUCAACUUUGUGGAUUGCAACAGCGUUAUAUGUGUCAAUGUUGUGAUUUGAUGUACAUCUCUGUUUUGUAUCAGUGUUAAUGUCAUUUACAGUAUUGCAUGUCUUUCUGCACUUGUGCAUCUCUCCCCUGGGCCGUCUCUCCCCUGGGCCGUCUCUCCCCUGGGCCGUCUCUCCGCUGGGGCGUCUCUCCGCUGGGGCGUCUCUCCCCUGGGGCGUCUCUCCACUGGGGCGUCUCUCCACUGGGGCUUCUCUCCUAACUCACUCCAGUAGAGAGCUCUAUGUUUCCACAAUGAGAAUGUUUGCUUUUGCAUUCAAACAAUAUUUCAAAAAUCCAUAUUAUACUACAAAAGUUGCUAGCAUAUCACCAUUCCCUUACCGUUUAAUGCAACAUUGAAAAAUCUGUUGAUGUGCCCAUGAGCAAGGCACUUAACCCUAAUUUGCUUAAGGGGUGCAAUACUCUAUGGCAUUUCAGACGGUUGUUAGGGGACCCUCUAUGGCAUUUCAGAUGGUUGUUAGGGAACCCUCUAUGGCAUUUCAGACGGUUGUUAGGGGACCCUCUAUGGCAUUUCAGACGGUUGUUAGGGGACCCUCUAUGGCAUUUCAGACGGUUGUUAGGGGACCCUCUAUGGCAUUUUAGACAGUUGUUAGGGGACCCUCUAUGGCAUUUCAGACGGUUGUUAGGGAACCCUCUAUGGCAUUUCAGAUGGUUGUUAGGGGAACAUCUAUGGCAUUUCAGACGGUUGUUAGGGAACCCUCUAUGGCAUUUCAGACGGUUGUUAGGGAACCCUCUAUGGCAUUUCAGAUGGUUGUUAGGGGAACAUCUAUGGCAUUUCAGACGGUUGUUAGGGGAACAUCUAUGGCAUUUCAGACGGUUGUUAGGGAACCCUCUAUGGCAUUUCAGACGGUUGUUAGGGAACCCUCUAUGGCAUUUCAGACGGUUGUUAGGGAACCCUCUGUGGCAUUUCAGACAGUUGUUAGGGAACCCUCUAUGGCAUUUCAGACGGUUGUUAGGGAACCCUCUGUGGCAUUUCAGACGGUUGUUAGGGAACCCUCUGUGGCAUUUCAGACGGUCAGUUUUUUAUGAUUGGGUUUUGCUUUUCUUGUAUUGUUGUGUAUAAUAACGUGUUUUUUUGUGUAUAAUAACGCAUAUUUUAAUGUGUAUAUGAAUGUGUAGUUUAAUGUGUUUACUGUAUUUUGAUGUGUAUUGUGGUGCUAUACAAGACUCAUCUGUAAAAUAAACCUUGUCUCAGCAUUGACUUCCUGUCUAAAUAAAGACACCUUGGUCUCAGCAUUGACUCCCUGUCUAAAUAAAGUUUAAAUAAAUAAAACAUUUAAGCCAUUUCUGUUUUCUGAUACAUUUUCAUUGACCAUUGAGUGGGG
rnacentral:lncRNA from 1 species